GAUCUUCUCGGCUUAGCGGCUGAAGACUGAUGCUGCCCAAUUGCCUCGGAAGCCCUGUAGACCAUCACAGACACCGAGCUUUAGGUAGCUCUCACAGUGGAGGAGAAAUAAAGAGGGCUCAUGAGUGCCCUGCCCUCACGGCUUCAUCUAAACAUAAUUACCUCCAAGGACUCUGCCUUCAAAUACCAUCACAUUGGAGGUUGCAUGUAGAGAUGAACCCCCAGUGGAUUCCUGUGAUGUCCUUUGCAGCAGUGUCAACAGUGAAGUCCCAGAUGACACGACUGGCAAGGAUCUGAGGUUACUACGGUAUCCGGUGGUUAGUGGUCAUUUUGGAGGUUAUGUACAGACUACUAAUAACUUGCUCUCACUAUUGGAGCUGGAGAAGAACUUAAGAAAAAAAUAAAUGCAAAUUAUACCAUAUACUCUUAAAGAACUUCACAAACAGAUGGUUUAUCUUCCCAACACCCAGAAAAAGUAGGCCACAG
rnacentral:lncRNA from 10 species